UACGGGGGGGGGCAAGCGUUGUUCGGAAUUACUGGGCGUAAAGGGCUCGUAGGCGGCCAACUAAGUCGGACGUGAAAUCCCUCGGCUUAACCUGGGAACUGCGUCUGAUACUGGAGGGCUUGAGUAUGGGAGAGGGAUGUAGAAUUCCAGGUGUAGCGGUGAAAUGCGUAGAUAUUGGGAGGAACACCAGUGGCGAAGGCGGCUCACUGGACCGGAACUGACGCUGAGGCGCGAAAGCGUGGGGAGCAAACGGG
rnacentral:rRNA from 1 species